UACGGAGGGUGCGAGCGUUGUCCGGAAUCACUGGGCGUAAAGGGCGCGUAGGUGGCGCGGGCAGUCAACGGUGAAAGUUCGGGGCUCAACCCUGAAUCGGCCGUCGAUACUCCCGUGCUGGAGCACUGUAGAGGCUAAUGGAAUUCCGGGUGUAGCGGUGGAAUGCGUAGAGAUCCGGAAGAACACCGGUGGCGAAGGCGGUUAGCUGGGCAGUUGCUGACACUGAGGCGCGACAGCGUGGGGAGCAAACAGGG
rnacentral:rRNA from 1 species